GUUCCAUGUGAACGGCAC
rnacentral:snRNA from 1 species